rnacentral:tRNA from 1 species
CAAAGAAUAGUUUAUAUUAAAAUAGUAAUUUUGGAGAUUAUAGAUAAAGGUUUAUCUUUUUCUUUGA